rnacentral:rRNA from 1 species
AGGGUGCAGGGCGGAUGCCUUGGCACUAGGAGCCGAUGAAGGACGUGAUAAGCUGCGAUAAGCUUCGGGGAGUUGCACGUAAACUUUGAUCCGAAGAUUUCCGAAUGAGGAAACUCACUUAGAGUAAUGUCUAAGUAUCAUUAAGUGAAUACAUAGCUUAAUGAGGGGAACUCAGGGAACUGAAACAUCUAAGUACCUGAAGGAAGAGAAAGAAAUUCGAUUCCGUAAGUAGCGGCGAGCGAACGCGGAUUAGCCCAAACCAAUAAAGUUUUCUUUAUUGGGGUUGCGGACAUAUCAUAACGAAGAGGUAUCGUAAUUGAAGAGGUUUGGAAAGACCCACCACAGAAGGUAAUAGUCCUGUAUGUUAAACGAGAAGACUUUAGAUAUGAUCCAGAGUACCACGGGACACGUGAAACCCUGUGGGAAGCAGGAGGGACCACCCUCCAAGGCUAAAUACUACCUAGUGACCGAUAGCGUAUAGUACCGUGAGGGAAAGGUGAAAAGAACCCCGGGAGGGGAGUGAAAUAGAACCUGAAACCGUGUGCCUACAACCGCUCAGAGCCCCUUAUGAGGGUGAUGAGGUGCUUUUUGUAGAACGAGCCAACGAGUUACGGUAUGUAGCAAGGUUAAGUACUUAAGGUACGGAGCCGAAGGGAAACCGAGUCUGAAUAGGGCGACUAGUUGCAUGCCGUAGACCCGAAACCGGGUGACCUAUCCAUGGCCAGGUUGAAGCGAGGGUAAAACCUCGUGGAGGACCGAACCACGUUGCUGUUGAAAAAGCAUGGGAUGAGCUGUGGAUAGCGGAGAAAUUCCAAUCGAACCCGGAGAUAGCUGGUUCUCUCCGAAAUAGCUUUAGGGCUAGCGUCGAGUAUGAGUAGUGGAGGUAGAGCACUGAAUGGGCUAGGGGGCAUAGCGCUUACCGAACCUUAUCAAACUCCGAAUGCCACAUACUUUGAGCUCGGCAGUCAGACUACGAAUGAUAAGAUCCGUGGUCAAAAGGGAAACAGCCCAGAUCGUCAGCUAAGGUCCCAAAGUGUAAGUUAAGUGGGAAAGGAUGUGAGAUUUCUAAGACAACUAGGAUGUUGGCUUAGAAGCAGCCAUUCAUUAAAAGAGUGCGUAAUAGCUCACUAGUCGAGAGAUCUUGCGCCGAAAAUGUAACGGGGCUAAACUUACCACCGAAGCUACGGGCUUGAACAUAGUUCAAGCGGUAGGAGAGCGUCGUAACCGGGCUGAAGUCGUACCGUAAGGAGCGGUGGACUGGUUACGAGUGAGAAUGUUGGCAUCAGUAGCGAGAUGUGGGUGAGAAUCCCACAGGCCGAAAACCUAAGGUUUCCUCAGGAAGGUUCGUCCGCUGAGGGUUAGUCGGGACCUAAGCCGAGGCCGAAAGGCGUAGGUGAUGGACAACUGGUUGAUAUUCCAGUACCACUACCAUCGUUAUUAUCGAUGGCGUGACGCAGGAGGAUAGUGUGUGCUAGCUAUUGGAUGCUAGUCUAAGCGUUUAGGCAGUGAGAGUAGGCAAAUCCGCUCUCAUAAUGCUGAGGCGUGAUGGGGAAGGUUCUACGGAACCGAAGUACAUGAUUCCACGCUGCCAAGAAAAGCGUCUAGAGAGAGAAGUAGUGCCCGUACCGCAAACCGACACAGGUAGGUGAGGAGAGAAUCCUAAGGCCGGCGGAAGAAUUACAGUUAAGGAACUCGGCAAAUUGACCCCGUAAGUUCGCGAGAAGGGGUGCCUACGAGAGUAGGCCGCAGAGAAUAGGCCCAAGCAACUGUUUAGCAAAAACACAGGUCUCUGCUAAAGCGUAAGCUGAUGUAUAGGGGCUGACGCCUGCCCGGUGCUGGAAGGUUAAGGGGAACACUUAGCGCAAGCGAAGGUGUGAACUUAAGCCCCAGUAAACGGCGGCCGUAACUAUAACGGUCCUAAGGUAGCGAAAUUCCUUGUCGGGUAAGUUCCGACCCGCACGAAAGGCGUAAUGAUUUGGGCACUGUCUCAACGAGAGACUCGGUGAAAUUUUAGUACCUGUGAAGAUGCAGGUUACCCGCGACAGGACGGAAAGACCCCAUGGAGCUUUACUGCAGUUUGAUAUUGAGUGUCUGUGCCACAUGUACAGGAUAGGUAGGAGCCAAAGAGAUCGGGACGCCAGUUUCGAUGGAGGCGAUGUUGGGAUACUACCCUUGUGUUAUGGCCACUCUAACCCGGAUAGGUGAUCCCUAUCGGAGACAGUGUCUGACGGGCAGUUUGACUGGGGCGGUCGCCUCCUAAAAGGUAACGGAGGCGCCCAAAGGUUCCCUCAGAUUGGUUGGAAAUCAAUCGCAGAGUGUAAAGGUAUAAGGGAGCUUGACUGCGAGAGCAACAACUCGAGCAGGGACGAAAGUCGGGCUUAGUGAUCCGGUGGUUCCGUAUGGAAGGGCCAUCGCUCAACGGAUAAAAGCUACCCUGGGGAUAACAGGCUUAUCUCCCCCAAGAGUCCACAUCGACGGGGAGGUUUGGCACCUCGAUGUCGGCUCAUCACAUCCUGGGGCUGUAGUAGGUCCCAAGGGUUGGGCUGUUCGCCCAUUAAAGUGGUACGCGAGCUGGGUUCAGAACGUCGUGAGACAGUUCGGUCCCUAUCCGUCGCAGGCGUAGGAAAUUUGAGAAGACCUGUCCUUAGUACGAGAGGACCGGGAUGGACGUACCUCUGGUGUACCAGUUGUCCUGCCAAGGGCAUGGCUGGGUAGCUAUGUACGGAAUGGAUAAGCGCUGAAAGCAUCUAAGCGCGAAGCCAACUUCAAGAUAAGAUUUCCCACCGCAAGGGUAAGACCCCAGAAAGACUAUCUGGUUGAUAGGUCGAAGGUGUAAGUGCAGCAAUGUAUUUAGCUUAUCGAUACUAAUAGGUCGAGGACUUGACC